rnacentral:rRNA from 1 species
GAUGAACGCUGGCGGCGUGCCUAAUACAUGCAAGUCGAGCGAACAGACGAGGAGCUUGCUCCUCUGACGUUAGCGGCGGACGGGUGAGUAACACGUGGAUAACCUACCUAUAAGACUGGGAUAACUUCGGGAAACCGGAGCUAAUACCGGAUAAUAUAUUGAACCGCAUGGUUCAAUAGUGAAAGACGGUUUUGCUGUCACUUAUAGAUGGAUCCGCGCCGCAUUAGCUAGUUGGUAAGGUAACGGCUUACCAAGGCAACGAUGCGUAGCCGACCUGAGAGGGUGAUCGGCCACACUGGAACUGAGACACGGUCCAGACUCCUACGGGUGGCAGCAGUAGGGAAUCUUCCGCAAUGGGCGAAAGCUUGACGGAGCAACGCCGCGCGAGUGAUGAAGGUCUUCGGAUCGUAAAACUCUGUUAUUAGGGAAGAACAAAUGUGUAAGUAACUAUGCACGUCUUGACGGUACCUAAUCAGAAAGCCACGGCUAACUACGUG